rnacentral:rRNA from 1 species
GAUGAACGCUGGCGGCGUGCCUAAUACAUGCAAGUCGAGCGAACAGAUGAGGAGCUUGCUCCUCUGACGUUAGCGGCGGACGGGUGAGUAACACGUGGAUAACCUACCUAUAAGACUGGGAUAACUUCGGGAAACCGGAGCUAAUACCGGAUAAUAUAUUGAACCGCAUGGUUCAAUAGUGAAAGACGGUUUUGCUGUCACUUAUAGAUGGAUCCGCGCCGCAUUAGCUAGUUGGUAAGGUAACGGCGUACCAAGGCAACGAUGCGUAGCCGACCUGAGAGGGGGAUCGGCCACACUGGAACUGGAACACGGUCCAGACGCCUAAGGGAGGCAGCAGUAGGGAAUCUUCCGCAAUGGGCGAAAGCCUGACGGAGCAACGCCGCGUGAGUGAUGAAGGUCUUCGGAUCGUAAAACUCUGUUAUUAGGGAAGAACAAAUGUGUAAGUAACUAUGCACGUCUUGACGGUACCUAAUCAGAAAGCCACGGCUAACUACGUG